rnacentral:lncRNA from 13 species
GAAUAAAUCUCCAUGGUAAUUUAUACCAUAACAUAUCCUCCUGCCCCCUAUCCAUCUUUAGUGCAACCGGAUUACGGAUCAAUUGAGCCAGGAUCACCAAGAUAUCCUGGCUUAAUCCCUUAUCCUAGUUUUGUGCAACAGGCCCCUGGUAGUGGACCAGUGUCAACAUGACUGAGAAGACACAUGACCUGGUAGUAGACCAGUGUCAACAUGACUGAGAAGACACAUGACCUGGUAGUGGACCAGUGUCAACAUGACUGAGAAGACACAUGACCUGGUAGUGGACCAGUGUCAANNNNNNNNNNNNNNNNNNNNNNNNNNNNNNNNNNNNNNNNNNNNNNNNNNNNNNGGAGCUAAAUAAAGGCAGGCCCGUCUUAGAGGGGAUCCCUGGGGGGAAAGAGACGAGCAUAGGUUCCUCCCAAGAUGCCACCCGCUUCAUUCAAGUGUCUGGCAGCACUGUGUUCCUGUUAGAGCCACCAGCACAAGCACCAGACGAUGCUGAUCCAGUGAGUACUCCAUCAAAGGCAUACUGUAGGCCUGGCAUGUCUUGUCUACUAGCUUCAAUAUGAAUCCGAUUAAAUGUGAUAGGGUGAAGGCCCCAGUGCAGCAGCAACAGCACAUGAUGGAGACGAUGAUGAGGAGGAGACCAUCUCUCUGGAUUCCAGAAGGCAUGAGGUAUCAUGUUAAGACUGUGAAAGUACUAUUUACUCUACAAUGGUGAGGAGUCCUCAUCAAAAUCAAAAAAUCAAAUUUCUUUUACAGGACCCAGAUGCUAUACAGUGGGAAAACCAGCCUGGCAACAUAAGCUCACAAGCUAUCAGAAAGUUGUAUGGCAACCACCUCCGGUGCCAAAUAGAACUGGCAGACAUAGACAUUCAGUACAAGAAGAAAAAGAUGGAAAAUCUUGCACUGGAGUUCGAAAUAAAAAAGAGGACAAUUAGGAAACUGGACCUUGAAAUAAAAAAACUUGAGAGGGAGGUGAGAUAUGCCUUCAAUGUACACUGUAUGCUAACUGUAACACAAAUGUAUUAAUCAUUAUUUUUCUUUCCUCCCCCAGCUCCAAGAAGAUGACACAGCUCAAAAUAAAAAUUAGGUAUAUUCUCGUAAAGUCAAGUGAGCCAUGACAUAUGAGCUNNNNNNNNNNUGACAUAUGAGCUCUUAUUGUGAGCACACAGGACGGUGGCAUCUUUCUAAGGUUUUUUUUAUUUUCCCAGCAAUCAGUACAACCAAGUCAUCGUUAUAAGGCAUCGCCCUCUUUUGCCCACCCCCCCCAGCACCAGGUGUGGCCACUAGCCUAUAUGAAGGCCCAAAAUUGUGUGUUCCUUUCUGCUCUGACAAUGGCAUGCCCAUUCGUGCGAGAUGUGGUGGAUGAAGAAGCACUUGUGCUGAGGAGAGCCUUCAGGUGAGAAAGGGUCUUCAGGGACCGGUUGGACCCACUGGCCUUCCCUGAUGACCAUCUAUAUGAAAGAUACAGGUUUUCUGCAGAUGGCAUCAGGUAUCUAUGCAGACUACUGGGUCCCAGGAUUAAGCACCGCACUGCACGGAGCCAUGCACUGAGUGUGGAGCAAAUGGUUUGUGUGGCCUUGCGCUUUUUUGCUAGUGGAACCUUCCUGUACUCAGUGGGGGAUGCAGAACAGCUGAACAAGGCCACAAUUUGCCGCACAAUAAGGAGUGUGUGUCUGGCUAUCAAAGCAUUAGCAGAUGUCUUCAUCUCCUUCCCUGGCCACAGAAGACUCUGUGACAUCAAAGAGGAGUUCUAUAGGAUUGCAGGUAAGAGGAUCUACAAAUUACAGGACAACUGUUAACACAUAGUAGGAUACUCAUUACUUUGUGUGACAGGUUUCCCCAAUGUCAUUGGUGCAGUGGACUGCACACACAUAAGGAUAAAAGCCCCCUCAGGUGCCCAUGAGGCCGAUUUUGUGAAUAGGAAAUCCUUUCACAGCAUUAAUGUUCAGGUGAACAUAACUUUUUGAUAUUGUCCAUUGACGAACACUCUGCAUUGCCAGUGAUGUGCAUUGAUUGGUGUAAUAUUCCUCAUCUUAUGAUUUCAGAUGGUCUGCAAUGCUGACUGUGUGAUCA